rnacentral:rRNA from 1 species
GAGCUUGCUCCACCGGAAAAAGAAGAGUGGCGAACGGGUGAGUAACACGUGGGUAACCUGCCCAUCAGAAGGGGAUAACACUUGGAAACAGGUGCUAAUACCGUAUAACAAUCAAAACCGCAUGGUUUUGAUUUGAAAGGCGCUUUCGGGUGUCGCUGAUGGAUGGACCCGCGGUGCAUUAGCUAGUUGGUGAGGUAACGGCUCACCAAGGCCACGAUGCAUAGCCGACCUGAGAGGGUGAUCGGCCACAUUGGGACUGAGACACGGCCCAAACUCCUACGGGAGGCAGCAGUAGGGAAUCUUCGGCAAUGGACGAAAGUCUGACCGAGCAACGCCGCGUGAGUGAAGAAGGUUUUCGGAUCGUAAAACUCUGUUGUUAGAGAAGAACAAGGAUGAGAGUAACUGUUCAUCCCUUGACGGUAUCUAACCAGAAAGCCACGGCUAACUACGUGCCAGCAGCCGCGGUAAUACGUAGGUGGCAAGCGUUGUCCGGAUUUAUUGGGCGUAAAGCGAGCGCAGGCGGUUUCUUAAGUCUGAUGUGAAAGCCCCCGGCUCAACCGGGGAGGGUCAUUGGAAACUGGGAGACUUGAGUGCAGAAGAGGAGAGUGGAAUUCCAUGUGUAGCGGUGAAAUGCGUAGAUAUAUGGAGGAACACCAGUGGCGAAGGCGGCUCUCUGGUCUGUAACUGACGCUGAGGCUCGAAAGCGUGGGGAGCAAACAGGAUUAGAUACCCUGGUAGUCCACGCCGUAAACGAUGAGUGCUAAGUGUUGGAGGGUUUCCGCCCUUCAGUGCUGCAGCUAACGCAUUAAGCACUCCGCCUGGGGAGUACGACCGCAAGGUUGAAACUCAAAGGAAUUGACGGGGGCCCGCACAAGCGGUGGAGCAUGUGGUUUAAUUCGAAGCAACGCGAAGAACCUUACCAGGUCUUGACAUCCUUUGACCACUCUAGAGAUAGAGCUUCCCCUUCGGGGGCAAAGUGACAGGUGGGUGCAUGGUUGUCGUCAGCUCGUGUCGUGAGAUGUUGGGUUAAGUCCCGCAACGAGCGCAACCCUUAUUGUUAGUUGCCAUCAUUCAGUUGGGCACUCUAGCAAGACUGCCGGUGACAAACCGGAGGAAGGUGGGGAUGACGUCAAAUCAUCAUGCCCCUUAU